rnacentral:rRNA from 1 species
ACGACCACCGCCUGCGCCCUGCCCAGAACGCGGACGCGAGUCUCGCACCUCACAAGGUUGACCUCGGAUCAGGUAGGACUACCCGCUGAACUUAAGCAUAUCAAUAAGCGGAGGA